UACGGGGGGGGGCAAGCGUUGUUCGGAAUACUGGGCGUAAAGGGCGCGUAGGCGGCUUGCUAAGUCAGACGUGAAAUCCCUCGGCUCAACCGGGGGAACCGCGUCUGAUACUGGCGAGCUUGAAUUCGGGAGAGGGAUGUGGAAUUCCAGGUGAGCGGUGAAAUGCGUAGAUAAUCUGGAGGAACACCGGUGGCGAAGGCGGCAUCCUGGACCGAGAUUGACG
rnacentral:rRNA from 1 species